AGGGAUUCCAGUAACUUACCUUCUUCAGCAGGGAGCUCUAUCCAGGGGAAAAAAAGAAGAAAAGGACAUAUUCAUUUGGGGUUCAGUCUAAUGUCUCCUACAUCCAGGAUUCUGGCUAAGGAGAAGCCGGUCAUCUGAACUUCUGUGUGAAAUCCCAGUGGAAACACUAUCCAGGCCAAGCAAAUCAUGUAUGCAGUUCCAACCCAGAUAAAACUUCCCACUUGACAGAUGAGGACAACUGAGGCCUAGAGAGGCUAAUACCUUGCUGAGGCCAAACAGCAAAGCAGAGGAAAAGCCAGGCAUGGAAGCCAGCAUCUUCCGUUAUCUACCCUCCAGCUUCCCAGCUUGGCCCCAAGAAGGGGGGCAGCCAGACUGCCCUAGGGCCCCUCUGCAGUCAGGCUCUGUGGCCACUGCAUUCAAUCUCUCCCAAUACAGCCACUGCGCCGCAGCCCUGGCCCCACAGUGUCUCUCUGCCUGCUUUCUGCCUAAAGUAGGAAGCCUUCACUGAAGAAUUCCGAGCAGGAAGGGGCCUUAGACGUGGUCCAUCCUGCUGCUCACUGCUCUGUCCCAUUAAGAGAACUUGGCUGGAGACCCUGGGAAGCACUGUUCAUUCGGCUCUGCACUUACCGCUCAACCAACAGCACAGCCCGCAGGAGAGCCGCGAGCUGAGAGCACAGCGCUGGAGGGCAACAGGGAUUUGACCUGACACAGCCUUCCAGCCUCUCCGCUCCCGAGCGGGCAACACUGAGUGGGCUGCCUUCCUGACCCGCCUGUCCCAGACCCCACUGCAGACACUGGCCACAGCCAUCACGAUGGAACUGAGAUAAACCCUUUUAUUUAUUUA